GUCCUCCCCAGCCGCCUUGUAAAGACGCUGAAGCCAAGUCACAAACAAAGAAAAAGCAGUGAGAAGGCGAGUAUUCGGCUCUGUGCUCGCUUGAGGCUGGGAAGGCCUCACUGGACACAGCUCAGCCAAGGCUGAGGGACAUUUCCUUCAGUAGAGUCGGGCUGCAUGAGUCACAGGAGACGGAAGGAGUGUGUGAAGAAUUGCAGUUCACUUUAUAAGCGCCGAGGAAGCAAUCCUUGGAGAGCCAUGGGAGACUUCACCUCAUUGGUGAUCUGGUUGCUGAACUUGGCAUGCAGAAGGUUGGGAGUAUCUGUCACAGCUGUGUACUUGAAUGACCCAGGGUGCUGGCGGUACUUACUCUGAGAAGGAAAGAGACGGCUCGGAGCGACACAGGGGACACCACGCAUGAAGUUCAAGUCAGAACGGUACAGAGUCUACGAGGAGGAGCGUGCAAACGUCAGAGAAGCCAGACUCCAAACUAAGGAGCAGGAGAAGCCAGCUCUCAGCACACGUGCGCAAGGCUGCGGCCCUGGGUGGGUACAGGCGGGGUCCCACUCAACAUCAGUGCUCACAGUUGUCAGUAACGGCUUGUCAGGGGAAAACCUGGGUCACACACAAAUCAUUGCGCUGUCACUUUUCUGUGAGCAGCUCUGACAGGAUGGAGUUUUGUUUUAAUGUGGGCUACCAAAACACAAAUGCUGGAGAGGAUUGUGGCUAGAAUGUCAGGUGUCCUGGGGCAAAUGUACAAAUGCUUUAACCGAUCUUUCAAACAAAAGCCAGCAGCAGCAGCUGGUAUUAAUUAAUCAUGUGUUAAGAAAGAACUGAUGAAUAAAUCGGAAAGAACCUGGCAGGG